UACGGAGGAUGCGAGCGUUGUCCGGAUUUAUUGGGUUUAAAGGGUGCGUAGGCGGUUUAAUAAGUCAGUGGUUAAAUUUUGCAGCUUAACUGUAGGUAUGCCAUUGAUACUGAUAGACUUGAGACUUGAGGGGGUAAGUGGAAUUGGUAGUGUAGCGGUGAAAUGCAUAGAUACUACCAGGAAUAUCGAUAGUGAAGACAGCUUACUACGGAAGUUCUGACGCUGAGGCACGAAAGCGUGGGGAUCAAACAGG
rnacentral:rRNA from 1 species